rnacentral:rRNA from 1 species
AUUGAACGCUGGCGGCAGGCCUAACACAUGCAAGUCGAGCGGAGUGGCGGACGGGUGAGUAAUACCUAGGAAUCUGCCCGGUAGUGGGGGAUAACGUUCGGAAACGGACGCUAAUACCGCAUACUAUCAGAUGAGCCUAGGUCGGAUUAGCUAGUUGGUGAGGUAAUGGAUCACCAAGGCUACGAUCCGUAACUGGUCUGAGAGGAUGAUCAGUCACACUGGAACUGAUGCACGUCCCAGACUCCGUCGUGAGGCAGCAGUGGGGAAUAUGGGACAAUGGGCGAAAGCCUGGUCCAGCCAUUCCGCGUGUGGGAGGAAGGUCUUCGGAUUGUAAAGCACUUUAGGUUGGGAGGCGUUACCGACAGAAUAAGCACCGGCUAACUCUGUGCCAGCAGCCGCGGUAAUUC